rnacentral:lncRNA from 1 species
UUAGUUAAGUCGGACCCUUCAUUUUCAUACAGUCAUGUCAAAAAAAUAUUGCCCUUAUAGAUAUCACAACAAAGUAAUAUUUUAAAAAUAUGUUGUAAGCAUCUAAUAUGCACUAAGAUAAUCCCACAUCAAUCUCCGUAGCAAGCCUUGUGGAUCUCACAACAAACCUACUAUGAUUUCUGACAGGAUAUUGGCUUAUGAAGGAAGGUAUCAGUAGUAUAAUAAACAUUAAGCAACCCAAAUUCAAGAUUUAGGCUAACUCAAUUAGCCAAAAAAGUGUUAAGAUUGGUGGGGUCCCCCAUUGCUUUCCUUAGACACCAAUAAAUUGCUCAGGUCAGUAAAUGAAAUCAAUUAAAUAACCACUGUACUUGAAAUACUUUUUAGAUACCAAUUGAUUAAUCGAUUCAAGAAAUUGCUCAGCUUCUGGUUCAUGAUACUACGACUUAAUAUAAUUUUUAAAAGGGCUUUAAUGGUCUUAUAUACAUCCUAACUUAACCAAUCAUAAUGAUAUACUAUUAUAAUUGUAUCAUAACAACUAAUCAUUAAACAAAUGCAUCUAAUCAUAUCUCUAAGAUAUAUUAACAUGAUCAUAAUCAUAACAUCAUGCAUCUAAAUAUAUCUCUAAGAUAUACUAACAUGAUCAUAAUCAUAACAUCAUGCACCUAAACAUAUCUCUAAGAUAUGUUAGGGUUUCGAUGUUCAAUUGGGUUCAACUGAUGAUCCAACUUGAACCAAACCAAAAAUUCUAGCUUGACCACAAUCAAGAGUACAUUCCAAUCUUUAAUUAUAUAAAUCAAGAUAGGCUUUGAUACUAUUGUUGGAUUUUGGUGGUGCAGUAGAAGGUCUAGAUAUUUAAAAUUUUCAUUCAAAACACUCAAACACACUAAAACCUUAGAACCCAGAAUCCCUUAACUAUAGGAAUCAAAGCAUAAUUAAAUUAAAUAUGGACAAGAGGAAUACCUGUAAUGCUUAAUCCAAUUUUCACUAGGUACCUAAGUUUUCAUCCUCCAAUGAUGAUCCACAUAAAAAUUGAUUCAAGAAU